rnacentral:rRNA from 1 species
GACGAACGCUGGCGGCGUGCUUAACACAUGCAAGUCGAACGGAAAGGCCCUGCUUUUGUGGGGUGCUCGAGUGGCGAACGGGUGAGUAACACGUGAGUAACCUGCCCUUGACUUUGGGAUAACUUCAGGAAACUGGGGCUAAUACCGGAUAGGAGCUCCUGCUGCAUGGUGGGGGUUGGAAAGUUUCGGCGGUUGGGGAUGGACUCGCGGCUUAUCAGCUUGUUGGUGGGGUAGUGGCUUACCAAGGCUUUGACGGGUAGCCGGCCUGAGAGGGUGACCGGCAACAGUGGGACUGAGAUACGGACCAGACUCCUACGGGAGGCAGCAGUGGGGAAUAUUGCACAAUGGGCGGAAGCCUGAUGCAGCAACGCCGCGUGCGGGAUGACGGCCUUCGGGUUGUAAACCGCUUUCGCCUGUGACGAAGCGUGAGUGACGGUAAUGGGUAAAGAAGCACCGGCUAACUACGUG